CCGCAGUUCCUACGCUGCCCGCCGGGCGGCGCCCCGCGCCUCCCGCGCUCCCCGCUCUCGGCUCGCUCGCAGCCGGACACAGACUCUGUCUUCGGCUGCCGGCGGAUCGGACUGGAGCCGCCGAGGCUGCUGCGGAAGAGGAAAAAAAAAAAUGGAAACCAAUAGCCCGGCGGGCGGCGGAGCAGCGCCCGUGCCCCCACUCAGCUCCGGAGUGCGGAGCCGUCCAGAGUUGAGAAGAAAGAAGACCAGCUCUGGUGAGAUGGAAAAGCAACUCAGAAAUCAAGGGGAAUGGGAGAUGUGGAUCCCACCUGGGACUAGAACCUGGAUUUUGAGAAUUCUUGUUCAAUGCUCUCCACUUACUGCAGCUGAGGGAAAGGGAACUGUCCAUUUAAAUAGCUGAUGUUGGUAAGUGCUUUGGGGAGACAAGGUUCUCUUGAUCUGUAUAGGGCUCAUGUGUGAAUAUGACUUACGGUACAUUGGGAGAAUCAACCAAGAGUGCAAGGCAUCAAGGAGGGAGGUAGAAAGGAGUGAGGGAGAGAGGAAGAGAGAGAGAGAGAGAGAGAGUUAAAGAGGAGGAGGGGAUAUUGUCUGCACUGUGUUCCUCUUGAGGGUGCUGCAGAAACAACGGGCAGGGAUCAGUGUAUCAGAUGCAGCCAGUGUGGGGUUUUU
rnacentral:lncRNA from 1 species